AAUAGAGGGGGCAGUGGAACGCAGACGGGUUGUUGUUGUUGUUGUUGUAAGAAAGUUCUCUGAGAGGACUCCAGUGAAGAGUGUUCCAGGCCAAGGAAGCAGCCAGACUCAAGCCCUGGGGAUGGGAACAUGUUUGGCUUUGGUGGUGACAGAAGGCAGUUGCACUGGCUGUCAUUGACAGCUUUUCUUCUCGGGCCUUGGAUGAUGCAGCUUCAGCCUUGCUGCCUUCACAUUGUGGGAGAAGAGAGCAGCCAGCCAUCACUCCACGUGCGGAGUCGUCUCUGCUGCCUCCUCAGCGAUCCAUUUGGUUUUGGUGAGCAGUGGGGUGUCAUGUUUCCCAGGCUAGCCUUGAACCCACUGUGCAGCUGAAGAAGCCUCGAGCCUGCCUGUCGUCAGCAGGCACUCCUAGAACUUGUGCUGAGCUUCUGUGGACCCGUCAGAAAGUCCAGCCAGGAAGUGCUACUGGCCCUCCUGCAGCAAGGUUCCAUUUUCCAGUGUGACACUGAAGGUUGGAGCCGUCUGUUCCCGGCCAUGAUAAGUCUCAAGUUCAGGUAUUUUCUGCCGCAUUGAAAGCAGAACAGCUCGACUCUGCUGGUGAGCCCGGGAGCAAGCAGACACAGGGUCUGAAGGAAGAACCUGUGUCAGAUCCCAGCCCUGCCUCUGACAGUCACAUCCUCUCCUCAGCUUCAUCAUCUCAGAACGCGCUCUCCGUCCAUGGCCAGGAUAUUACAGAGCGCA
rnacentral:lncRNA from 1 species